AGAUGCCAUGGAGACAAGGCCAAAGGGGUUAGGAAACUUUUCUCUAGUCUUUUUUGGACAGCCUCAGUAAGGGUAGCAUGGGAUACAGAAUUAAAGAGCCUCAUCUUUUGAGAUGGAAAACUCAAGGUCCAAGCAAGACUCUGUCAUUUACUGUUUGAUUUUUAACAGCUAGCCAAAAAAAUCCGAGAGAAGUUCAACCGUUACUUGGAUGUGGUCAAUCGGAACAAGCAAGUUGUAGAAGCAUCCUAUACGGCUCACCUAACCUCUCCCCUAACUGCGAUUCAAGACUGCUGUACUAUCCCACCUUCCAUGAUGGAAUUCGAUGGGAACUUUAAUACCAAUGUGUCUAGAACAAUUAGUUGUGAUCGACUUUCUACUACUGUUAAUAGCCGGGCCUUCAAUCCAGGACGAGACUUAAAUUCAGGGGUCUAGAACUGAGCCGCAGUAUCUCCAAGUUCUUGCAGACAACCUGAAAUCCAACCCUGGAAUUAAGUGGCAAUAUUUCAGUUCAGAAGAAGGAAUUUUCACUGUUUUCCCAGCACACAAGUUCCGGUGUAAGGGCAGCUACGAACACCGCAGUAGACCCAUCUACGUCUCUACAGUCCGGCCGCAGUCAAAGCACAUAGUAGUGAUUCUGGACCACGGGGCUUCAGUCACAGACACUCAGCUUCAGAUUGCCAAGGACGCUGCUCAGGUCAUCCUCAGCGCCAUCGACGAACAUGACAAGAUUUCUGUGUUAACUGUGGCGGAUACCGUCCGGACUUGCUCACUAGACCAGUGCUAUAAGACCUUCUUGUCUCCAGCCACCAGUGAGACAAAAAGGAAAAUGUCUACCUUUGUUAGCAGCGUGAAGUCUUCAGACAGUCCUACCCAGCACGCAGUGGGAUUCCAAAAGGCAUUUCAGCUGAUUCGAAGCACAAACAAUAACACAAAGUUCCAAGCAAAUACAGACAUGGUCAUCAUUUACCUGUCAGCUGGCAUUACAUCAAAGGACUCUUCGGAAGAAGAUAAAAAAGCGACUCUCCGAGUCAUCAAUGAAGAAAAUAGCUUUCUAAACAACUCCGUAAUGAUUCUCACCUAUGCCCUCAUGAACGAUGGGGUGACUGGUUUGAAAGAGCUGGCUUUUCUGAGGGAUCUAGCUGAACAGAAUUCAGGGAAGUACGGUGUGCCAGACCGGACGGCCUUGCCUGUGAUUAAGGGCAGCAUGAUGGUGCUGAACCAGUUGAGCAACCUGGAGACCACAGUGGGCAGGUUCUACACAAACCUUCCCAACCGGAUGAUUGAUGAAGCCGUCUUCAGCCUCCCCUUCUCUGAUGAGAUGGGAGAUGGUUUGAUAAUGACUGUGAGUAAACCCUGUUAUUUUGGAAACCUACUUCUGGGAAUUGUAGGUGUGGACGUGAAUCUGGCUUACAUUCUUGAAGACGUGACGUAUUACCAAGACUCUUUGGCUUCCUAUACUUUUCUCAUAGAUGACAAAGGAUAUACACUUAUGCACCCAUCUCUUACCAGGCCAUAUUUAUUGUCAGAGCCCCCACUUCAUACUGACAUCAUACAUUAUGAAAAUAUUCCAAAAUUUGAAUUAGUUCGGCAAAAUAUCCUAAGCCUCCCUCUGGGCAGCCAGAUUAUCGCAGUCCCUGUGAACUCAUCCCUGUCUUGGCACAUAAAUAAGCUGAGAGAAACUGGAAAGGAAGCCUACAAUGUUAGCUAUGCCUGGAAGAUGGUACAGGACACUUCCUUUAUUCUGUGUAUUGUGGUGAUACAACCAGAAAUACCUGUGAAACAACUGAAGAACCUCAACACUGUUCCCAGCAGCAAGCUGCUGUACCACCGGCUGGAUCUCCUGGGCCAGCCCAGUGCUUGCCUCCACUUCAAACAGCUGGCAACCCUAGAAAGUCCCACCGUCAUGCUGUCUGCUGGCAGCUUUUCCUCCCCCUAUGAGCACCUCAGCCAGCCAGAGACAAAGCGCAUGGUAGAGCACUACACCGCCUAUCUCAGCGACAACACCCGCCUCAUUGCUAACCCGGGCCUGAAAUUCUCUGUCAGAAAUGAAGUAAUGGCUACCAGCCACGUCACAGAUGAAUGGAUGACACAAAUGGAAAUGAGUAGCCUGAACACUUACAUUGUCCGCCGUUACAUAGCAACGCCCAAUGGCGUCCUCAGAAUUUAUCCUGGUUCCCUCAUGGACAAAGCAUUUGAUCCCACUAGGAGACAAUGGUAUCUCCAUGCAGUAGCUAAUCCAGGGUUGAUUUCUUUGACUGGUCCUUACUUAGAUGUUGGAGGAGCUGGUUAUGUUGUGACAAUCAGUCACACAAUUCAUUCAUCCAGUACACAGCUGUCUUCUGGGCACACUGUGGCUGUGAUGGGCAUUGACUUCACACUCAGGUACUUCUACAAAGUUCUGAUGGACCUAUUACCAGUGUGUAACCAAGAUGGUGGCAACAAAAUAAGGUGCUUCAUAAUGGAGGACAGGGGUUAUCUGGUGGCGCACCCGACUCUCAUCGACCCCAAAGGACAUGCACCUGUGGAGCAGCAGCACAUCACCCACAAGGAGCCCCUGGUAGCAAAUGAUAUCCUCAACCACCCCAACUUUGUAAAGAAAAACCUGUGCAACAGCUUCAGUGACAGAACGGUCCAGAGGUUUUAUAAAUUCAACACCAGCCUUGCGGGGGAUUUGACGAACCUUGUGCAUGGCAGCCACUGUUCCAAAUACAGAUUAGCAAGGAUCCCAGGAACCAACGCGUUUGUUGGCAUUGUCAAUGAAACCUGCGACUCUCUUGCCUUCUGUGCCUGCAGCAUGGUGGACCGACUCUGUCUCAACUGUCACCGAAUGGAACAAAAUGAAUGUGAAUGUCCUUGUGAGUGCCCUCUAGAGGUCAAUGAGUGCACUGGCAACCUCACCAAUGCAGAGAACCGAAACCCAAGCUGCGAGGUCCACCAGGAGCCGGUGACAUACACAGCUAUUGAUCCUGGCCUGCAAGAUGCUCUUCACCAGUGUGUCAACAGCAGGUGCAGUCAGAGGCUGGAAAGUGGGGACUGUUUUGGGGUGCUGGAUUGUGAAUGGUGCAUGGUGGACAGUGAUGGAAAGACUCACCUGGACAAAUCCUACUGUGCCCCCCAGAAAGAAUGCUUCGGGGGGAUUGUGGGAGCCAAAAGUCCCUACGUUGAUGACAUGGGAGCAAUAGGUGAUGAGGUGAUCACAUUAAACAUGAUUAAAAGCGCCCCUGUGGGUCCUGUGGCUGGAGGGAUCAUGGGAUGCAUCAUGGUCUUGGUCCUGGCGGUGUACGCCUACCGCCACCAGAUUCAUCGCCGGAGCCAUCAGCAUAUGUCUCCUCUUGCUGCCCAAGAAAUGUCAGUGCGUAUGUCCAACCUGGAGAAUGACAGAGAUGAAAGGGACGACGACAGCCAUGAAGACAGAGGCAUCAUCAGCAACACUCGGUUUAUAGCUGCGGUCAUCGAACGACAUGCACACAGUCCAGAAAGAAGGCGCCGCUACUGGGGUCGAUCAGGAACAGAAAGUGAUCAUGGUUACAGCACCAUGAGCCCACAGGAGGACAGUGAAAAUCCUCCAUGCAACAAUGACCCCUUGUCAGCCGGGGUCGAUGUGGGAAACCAUGAUGAGGACUUAGACCUGGAUACCCCCCCUCAGACUGCUGCCCUACUAAGUCACAAGUUCCACCACUACCGGUCACACCACCCUACACUUCAUCAUAGCCACCACUUACAGGCGGCUGUCACGGUACACACUGUCGAUGCAGAAUGCUAACAAUCUCCUCACCUCCACUCCAAGACGAGAUCUGGGAGCUACAGAAUGUUCUGGAAAGAAAAAGAACCAGCUUAAAACCCACAGCAAGAGACCUCCCUUGUGUUUGUGCUUUGUGCAGAGUUGUUUGAGUCAUUUCCUCCUGCCUGUCGACAUGGUUAAAAACAAGAGAAACAACAACACAGUCACAUUUGUGAAGACCUGAGGCUGGUUCUGAAAUGGAGGGGAAAUAAGCCUGAUGAACGAACCUGCCAUAACACUAAUGGAAGGGAACAGAAGGCGAACCUCCAAACACAGACGGAACCUGCAAGUGAAGCUGAGCCAGAGGAAUGUUCCGAAGAGCCAGAAGCAUUCAGCUCUCCUUAACUGGAAGAGAGAAAAAUCUGCUCACCCAGAGACUGGAAUGUGGCACAUGCAGAUACAAAUGUGUGCAUUGAAGAUUUCGCUUUGUUUCUUAGCGGUACCUGGAUACCACAGUUGCUGUAUGGAGCUCAUGUUAUGCUCUAAACGAUGCAUCUCAAAAUUUCUAAGUAAAGGAUUAUUUUUCUACUAUUUAUUGAACUUUCAAACAUUCUCAAACUUUGGGGAAAAGGAAAGGAAACACAGGAGAAGUUUUCAGCAGUUGCCCCGAGCUGUUUUGUGUGUAAUGAAGUGGUUCUUUGAUUAAGGAGCUCUAUUUCUUAUUUAACUGAUAUCCCACUGCCCCACUCCACAAAAUAGGAAAAUGAAGAAAUCUUUCUCUCUGACUUGUUUACAUCAUUUCACGGAAACACAUCUUUAUUUGUAAUGCAGUAUUCUUUCUCUGUGUUUAACAGAGAUGGGGAAGGGCAGAGGAAUCUAAAAGGUUUUAAAAGAAAUGUUAUGUUUCUUAUGACUUGUUUCCACUCCUCGUACAAUGCUAUUCUUAGGUUUCUUCGAAACCUAAUGUUAGAACCGCAUCCUUUCAGCUAAGGGAGGGUUGGAUUUAUUUUCCUUGUUUUAGAGACUACAAAUUUUUAAAUGUCCCAUUUUGACUGAGAAUAUUGACAUAUAAGGGAAGAAUUUUUCUAAAUUGUGAAAGUCUGGUUCUUAAUUAAAGAAUUUUUUUUUUAAUAUCAUGGUUAAAAGCUGCUGCCAGUUAGCCAAGACAUUAUCCACCAAAUUGCUUUGUGAUUUAUACAGGGAUUAAUCAAAUCUGGCUACUAUAACAUGGGGCAUUGUAACUUUAAAGUAGUGUUUUAAUUACAGUGAUGUAUUUUAGACUCACAUUUUGUGAUUCAAAUAUGUUAUAAAGACAUUCUUGCACUGUGGUAAAGAAUGUGUGUGGUAAAUCUCCGUUUAUGUGUAGUUGGAAAAAAUUCACUGAAUAAUGUUUUAAUGAUAGGGUAUUAUGAUACAGUGUAAAAAAACAAUUGGUUCUUCAGCAGUACAGAAAGUAAACUAUAUAUGUGCUAUCAGGAAACCCCUUCAUACUGUGUAUAAAAUUGCAAUCUAGUGAAAUAAACUGUAUGCAACAGACCAUU
rnacentral:sRNA from 1 species